UACAGAGGUCCCAAGCGUUGUUCGGAUUCACUGGGCGUAAAGGGUGCGUAGGUGGCUUGGUAAGUUUGAUGUGAAAUCUCCGGGCUUAACCCGGAAAUGGCAUUGAAUACUAUUGAGCUGGAGGUUUGGAGGGGGGACUGGAAUUCUCGGUGUAGCAGUGAAAUGCGUAGAUAUCGAGAGGAACACCAGUGGCGAAGGCGAGUCCCUGGACAACACCUGACACUGAGGCACGAAAGCUAGGGGAGCAAACCGG
rnacentral:rRNA from 1 species